GUGCUGACACGGUCUGCUUCGGUGUCUGCCGCCGAGGAAACUUUGGGUCUCUGGAUGUACGCGGGGCUCUGGGCCUUCGGGCCGCCAGCUCUGGUCGCCGGUUCGGCCCUUGCCGCUGGAGCCGCCCGCCUGGGCCUGUGCGCCGUGGGUCUUCUACCCUGUGCGCUCCCCGCUGCGGGCACCCGGUGAAGGCUGAGAUGCGACCCCCGCCCUGUGGGCUCCGUGCCACGUGUCAGGCGUUCUCGAACCUCCUGGGGUCGUGGGCCGCUCUCGCCUGAGGCGAGGUGGGGGGCGGAGGUUGCCGGUGAGGCUUAAAGCGGGCCCCUCUGGUGACUGUCCUCGCCGUGCCUUCCCCCCGCUCCACCUUGGCUCAUCCGAUCGAUGUGGUGUGGUCGUGCUCUCCCGGGCCGGGCCUAAGCCGUGCCAGACGAGGGACAGGUGUUCCCGGUGAACGUGUCUGCUCUUCUCGGUCUGUCCGCGGGGCCCCUCGCCUGACUUUUCCCCCCUGGCCGUCGGGGAGGGGGAGGAAGGCGGGGGCUGGGUUGCGGCCUCUGGCCCUGACCUUCGGUCUCCUGUCCCCCGCCUCGGGGGGCGUCGGUGGGGGCCGUGGGUCUUCUGACACAGCAGAUGCUCUCGCUUCGCCUUCCCGGCGUGUGCUCCGCGAGCGGCCCUCCCCGCGGUGGGGAGGGCUGUACCGCUGCUGCGCUGCGCCCCCCCCCGCGCGGGUGCGCGAGCGUGCCUCGUUGGACCCUCGGUGGUGCCCCUGGAGCGCUCCAGGUCGUCGCUCAGGUGCCUGAGGCCGAGCGGUGGUGUCGUUUCCCUUAACCCCGGUGUCCUCCUCGGGUCCCCACCGCGGUGGUGUGUGUGUGUCCCGUGAGUGGGCUCUCUUUUGGGGGGGGUCGAGGCGGUAGGAGAGGCGUGCCUGUUCCCCUCGUCGUCGAGGCUGACGGGUGAGGCCUUGCAGGGGACGGGACGCGGGCUCUGCGCUGGCCCCGGCCACGCAGACGCUCCUGUGUUGGUGCUCCGCCUACCUGUACCGCAGACCCCUCCCACCCCAGCUGAGGACUGGUGGCUCGUGGAGCGCCUCCGUGGGCCCGAAGGAGAGAGACGAUCCGGGUGAGGGGCGGCGAGCCCUCGGUGAGAAAGCCUUCUCUAGCGAUCCGAGAGGGAGCCUUGGGGUAUCGGACCCCCCAGCUGCUGCCCCUCCUGCGUGCGCAGUGGCCGCCGUGGCGGCUGCCAAGAGCGCGUGGGCAGAACACCCCGCCCCCCACCUCCCCUCUGGGGGCGGUGGGGGGCGGGUGCGCCGGCCCCGCGGUGGGGCCGUGUGCCGCUCGUUGCCUACCGCGGCCCGCGCCUCCCCGCUUCGAGUUGGGGGAGGGUCCCGCUGGGCCCCGCCGGGCGUCCGGCAGGUGGGGGGGACCGGAGCGUGCGUGCGCCGCGUGUGCGCGCGGUCGGCCCCCGCGGUGUGGUGAGCCUUGGGGCAAAGGGGGGAAGGUGUUGGGGGCGCGACGUCCGGUCGGCCCCGGCUUCCCCAGCCCCGCAGCCGUGGUGCGGGAGAGCCUAUCGCGCCCGCCCUCUCCCCACGAGCCGCAGCCGGUGGCGGCGUGCGGUCGCGGUCGGGGCCGCCUCGCUCGAGAGCGUGAUCCCCAGGAUGUCGAGCCUCGGGGUGGCAGACUUAGAUCGGAAGACGGAUCUGUCGAGGACGGAUGGCGGAAGAUGGGUUUGGGCGGCUCGCCGGCCCUGGCGGCGGGGCCGGGUCGUGGGGGCCCGCUCUGGGGCUGGCCGGGACCGGUCGGCGUCCCAGGCGUGUCGCGGGACCGCCCUCGUGUGUGGGUGGCGGUGGGACCCCGCGCUGGUUUUCCUGGUGGCCCGGCCGUGUUCCCGGUGUCUUUGUGGUCCCCGGAUGGCGCCCGCGGCCCUGUCCCGCGGCCCCCGCCGUGCGUGCUUGCCGGCCCCUCCCCGCCGCUGCCGGCCUCUCCUCCUCGUCCCGCGCGUGCGACCGCCCCGCGCUCCCUUCCCCUGUCUGGGGCCGAGCCGGCCUCGCCUCAUGUGGGUGUCGUCCCCCGGCCUCCGUCGGCCGGUGGCGUCCCCGAGGCGGGGCGGCGCGCGGGGAGCUUUGCGCGUGUGGGGGACGUGGGGGCCGCCGGUGCGCGGCGGGAGAGCGUUCUCCCUGGCCGGCUUGCGGCUCUCGGGUGUGUGUUGGUGGCGGUGGGCGUGAGCCCCCGUGAGGGUGCCGGGGGGGCGCCAGUCCGUCGUCCCGGGCGUGCGGUGGGACCGUCCCUGUGCUGGGAGGCCUCCGGCGGUGAGAUCCCGCGGUGGGCCCUGGCGGCCGACUCGCGCUUCCCCCUGCCCCAGCACGGGUCGCUUUGAGCCAUGCCCCUCGCGGUGGCGCGCGGCCGCCCCACCAACACCGCCCCUGUUCCGUGGCGUUGGCCUCGCGUGGCCGCACCCCGUCGGUGCUCCUCUCCGUCUGUCCGUCCGCCUCAGUCCGCUCGCCGUC
ensembl:lncRNA